UACGGAGGGGGCGAGCGUUGUCCGAAGUUACUGGGCGUAAAGCGCGCGUAGGCGGGUUGGUAAGUCCGCUGGGAAAGCCCGGAGCUUAACUCCGGAGGGUCGGUGGAUACUGCCAGUCUUGAAGGUGCUAGGGGGAGAUGGAAUUACCGGUGUAGCGGUGAAAUGCGUAGAGAUCGGUAGGAACACCAGUGGCGAAGGCGGUCUCCUGGGGCAUUCUUGACGCUGAGGCGCGAAAGCUGGGGGAGCGAACGGG
rnacentral:rRNA from 1 species